rnacentral:rRNA from 1 species
GAGUUUGAUCGUGGCUCAGAACGAACGCUGGCGGCAGGCUUAACACAUGCAAGUCGAACGCCCCGCAAGGGGAGUGGCAGACGGGUGAGUAACGCGUGGGAAUCUACCCAGAUCUUCGGAACAACUGAGGGAAACUUCAGCUAAUACCGGAUACGCCCGUACGGGGAAAGAUUUAUCGGUUCUGGAUGAGCCCGCGUUGGAUUAGCUAGUUGGUGGGGUAAUGGCCUACCAAGGCGACGAUCCAUAGCUGGUCUGAGAGGAUGAUCAGCCACACUGGGACUGAGACACGGCCCAGACUCCUACGGGAGGCAGCAGUGGGGAAUAUUGGACAAUGGGCGAAAGCCUGAUCCAGCCAUGCCGCGUGAGUGAUGAAGGCCUUAGGGUUGUAAAGCUUCUUUCAGUAGGGAAGAUAAUGACGGUACCUACAGAAGAAGCCCCGGCUAACUUCGUGCCAGCCGCCGCGGUAAC